GGAUUGGUAUCUCAGUGGAUCAGAGUUUAUAGUUCCGGACUAUGAAGUCAAGGGUUCAAAUUUUUUCUAGCCCA
rfam:Picea glauca, whole genome shotgun sequence.